rnacentral:rRNA from 1 species
UACAGAGGUCCCGAGCGUUGUUCGGAUUCACUGGGCGUAAAGGGUGCGUAGGUGGCUUUGCAAGUCUGAUGUGAAAUCUCCGGGCCCAACCCGGAAAUGGCAUUAGAAACUGUGAGGCUGGAGGCUUGGAGGGGGAACUGGAAUGCUUGGUGUAGCAGUGAAAUGCGUAGAUAUCAAGCGGAACACCGGUGGCGAAGGCGAGUUCCUGGACAAGACCUGACACUGAGGCACGAAAGCCGGGGGAGCAAACAGGAUUAGAAACCCCCGUAGUCC